AGGAACUUGAUAAUAGCUAAGCUAUACCAAAGAGCUCUCUACUUUGUUCCAAUCAGGACCUCUACCUUGUCUGGAGCUGUGUUAUGGAGUCAGUAAGUACUGAGUUUGAUCCUUAAUCUUUUUUACCCUAUCACUAUAGCAA
rnacentral:lncRNA from 1 species